UGUGUGUUUGUGAAGGUGUAAAAGGAAGGAAGUGAAAUAAUGAUCUUAUGGACUUAAAUUGUGGUAUUCACCUAUUGAGCUCCAUCAGCAAGGAACCAGCUUGAAUGUGAUUGGACAAUCAUUCCAACAAAUAGGAGAAUAGAUAUCUUCAAAUUGAUUUACUCAGUGUAAUACAGGAUGUAAGAUGUAACAAAGUAUAUUGAUUCUAAAAUGAAUUAAUGAUAAUAAUCGUACCCUAUCGCUAUCAUAAUUAGGUCCAAUGGUGACAAAAUGUCAAUUAAGUUUAACUAUUAAAUUUGGUUUCACGUGUUGGGAGCAAACAUACCUCAACUGGGUUGACCGGAAGCAUCAAAAAUUGAUUUGAUUGAUUUACAGAUGUAGUUUGUAUGCUUUGUAAGAGAUAUCUCUUGUAAAUUGGGGCCAGAAGAAAUCCCCGCUGUUGGUUUAGUGCUCAUUUAGGUAGCUGGUCAAAUUUGGUCAGUCUUUGUAGCUUGAAAUAUCAUCACUUCUCAAGUGAAUUUAUUGGUUUAAUUUAUACCGGCAUUGGCCAAGUAGUGUUGAAAGGUUGUUUGGGUGUUUGUUGUGCAGUCAAUAUCAGUUUAUGAUUUGAUGGUUAAUUAUCAUAAUCAACUUGAUAAGGUGUUUGAAUGACAAGUACAAUUCACUCUCACUUCCUUUGGCGGAUCUUAAUUGAUUUCAUUGAUCUGUUGUUGCAAAGUUUGCCAAUUCAUUUCAAAUACGCACUUUACCAGAUAAAGCCUCUCACAUUCAAGUUUUAUGUUUGCUUUUGUGAUCCUCUUGUAAUUUACAAUCAACAUCUA